UUUUUUAUGGAGAGUUUGAUCCUGGCUCAGGAUGAACGCUGGCGGCGUGCCUAAUACAUGCAAGUCGAGCGAACAGACGAGGAG
rnacentral:rRNA from 1 species